CCCACCUGUCAAGUUCUAUCCGUGCGUCCUCCGGUGUUCCCCAAGGGCAGCAACAUGGUGCUUCCAGACGAGUCAAUACAACGCAUCGGAUGUCCAGCGCUACUCACCGCUAUAACCUGCCUGGUAUUCCCUGGUUGCUGAGUUCGUCAAACGUGUCAAUAUCCUGCGUUUGUCCAAUGUCCUGCCCGUUAGCGCUGUUCUCUGUUGGGAUUUGUGAUGUGUACUGAAACUUCACAUUGUAAAAACAUGUAAAAAUUGUGCUGUUGAGAGGGUUAAGCAAUCGAUGGAGUGAUCAUUGUAAUCCUUUAAAAAAUCUUAAGCACGUACAGUACCAAGUACCAUAUCCUUCCUAGAUCGUAGCACAGGCGGUUGCACAAUAGUUGGCAAAAUAGAAAGAUCUUUAGUCAACGUCCUUUGAAAAGAUAUUCCGACGGCUUAGCAACUAUUUUUUUCAAUUUUCGUUUCAAGUUUUUAAGUUUUUGACGGGACAAGAACAAUAAUUCAAGGGAACAUGUCCAAAAAUCUGGGGAAGAGAACAAUAAUCAAGGAACGUGAUAAAAAAUUUGGGACUGGUCAAGAUCAACUGUAUUCAACUGUACUUGCGUAUCUUGAGUGUAACUGUACACAAAAAAUGGAUGUAUCUGUAAAAAAAGAACUAUCUGAACUCAAAAAUACAUGGAAAA